UCUGUUGGGAGCCGUGGCACUGUCAAGUCAUCAGACGCGGUGAUUGCGAGGCCUGUGGGAAAGUACAAAAGCCUGGGCUAGAUUACCCCUCUCAUCGAGCCCGCCUGUGUGGCACCUGUUUCUUAUCACCCCACUAAGUUCCCGCCUCACAGGGUAGUCUGCCUAGCUAUUAAUCCUAUAUAUAGCCAGUGCCUCCACCCCCGAGAGAGAGAGAGACUGAAGCACAAAAGGAGCCGCGGAGAGCGGACCGGUAGAGGCUUCGGGGCAGACUGUAUAAGGAGAGAAUAAAGAAAAGCCUGACCACCGCCAGACCUUGUCGUGUGUCUUUCCUGCCGGCCGGGAGCGGACAUCGACAUUUGGAGGCCCGCACGGGGAUUGAUCAACCCCGAGACGCGGCGGUGGACUGCAUUCUCCUACACAGUGCUGCAGCUGCAGGACAGGAAUCGGGACGGGAGCCAGUGUGGGUCCCAGAGAGGUUGACGCGACGGGUCCCUCGACUGAAGAUCGGGCCUGUUCCACCAGAGGCCAACCGCAGACCCAACAACAAGAUGAGCCCUAAAAGAACUGCAGGACAAUCCCUUUUUGGGGGCCUGGAACGGCUUGCUCCCCUAUGUGCUACCCUUGUAUACGCAUGGCUCGCUCGCAUGGCCUACGACCGCGUUUAAAAGUGACAGGCUUCCCACAUUCUCCUCCCUAGACAACAACAUGUAGCAGGGUGGGUGAGUCAAUGACGGGUAAGAGCGUGCCUCCCCAGCACCACGACUCAACCUAAGCCAGGCCCUACCCCGUUCCGCUCGAAAGCCGCUGGAUUGUUAGAUAAAUUUCUCUCCGAGGGGAUUCGUGGAGAGAAAUGAGUGCAUGCCUAUGUGCAACCAGGUUCCGUCCGGUUCAUUCCUGGCCCUAGAAAAAAGGACGAGGGCCUCAGGGCCUUGGUGGACCCUGGGACGGCCGACCAGGGUCUACGCUAAGGGCCUACGGUGGGCCUCAGUUCGGGGCAUAGGCCUCUGCACUCUAUCCAGGACGGGCUGCGAUGCGCGUAGCCAUCAUUUAAAAUAAAAUAGGGGGAGAUGUUGGGAGCCGUGGCACUGUCAAGUCAUCAGACGCGGUGAUUGCGAGGCCUGUGGGAAAGUACAAAAGCCUGGGCUAGAUUACCCCUCUCAUCGAGCCCGCCUGUGUGGCACCUGUUUCUUAUCACCCCACUAAGUUCCCGCCUCACAGGGUAGUCUGCCUAGCUAUUAAUCCUAUAUAUAGCCAGUGCCUCCACCCCCGAGAGAGAGAGAGACUGAAGCACAAAAGGAGCCGCGGGGAGCGGACCGGUAGAGGCUUCGGGGCAGACUGAAGCACGGAAGGAGCCGCGGAGAGCGGACCGGUAGAGGCUUCGGGGCAGACUGUAUAAGGAGAGAAUAAAGAAAAGCCUGACCACCGCCA